GGUUCUAUGGUCUAGCGGUAUGACGUUUCUUUCACUCAGAAAAGGUCUCGAGUUCGAUCCUCGAUGGAAUCA